UAUUGUGGACUAGAGUUUCUGAUCUAGGCAUUGCCCUGAAUUUGAAGACAAACCCUUGGCUGUCUGA